rnacentral:rRNA from 1 species
CUUUCGGGGGAUACUGCCGAGACUUGGAACCGGGAGAGGUAGAGUACUACAGGGGUAGGAGUGAAAUCGUUGUAAUCCCUGUGGGACCACCUGUGGCGAAGGCGUCUUACCAGAACGGUUCGACGGUGAGGGACGAAAGCUGGGGGGCACGAACCGGAUUAGAUACCCGGGUAGUCCCAGCCGUAAACGAUGCUCGCUAGGUGUCAGGCAUGGCGCGACCGUGUCUGGUGCCGCAGGGAAGCCGUGAAGCGAGCCACCUGGGAAGUACGGCCGACAAGGCUGAAACUUAAAGGAAUUGGCGGGGAGCACAACAACGGGUGGAGCCCUGCGGUUUAAUUGGACUCAACGCCGGACAACUCACCGGGGGCGACAGCAAUAUGUAGGCCAAGCUGAAGACUUUGCCUGAAUCGCUGAGUAGAGGUGCAUGG